UACGUAGGGUGCGAGCGUUGUCCGGAAUCAUUGGGCGUAAAGAGCGUGUAGGCGGCUUGGUAAGUCCGCUGUGAAAGUCCAGGGCUCAACCCUGGAAUGCCGGUGGAAACUGUCAAGCUUGAGUCCGGAAGAGGCGAGUGGAAUUCCUGGUGUAGCGGUGAAAUGCGCAGAUAUCAGGAGGAACACCAAUGGCGAAGGCAGCUCGCUGGGACGGUACUGACGCUGAGACGCGAAAGCGUGGGGAGCAAACAGG
rnacentral:rRNA from 1 species